UACGAGGGGUGCAAGCGUUGCUCGGAAUUAUUGGGCGUAAAGGGUAGGUAGGUGGUCUCAUUUGUCUGGGGUGAAAGCCUUGAGCUUAACUCAAGAAGUGCCCCGGAAACGGUGAGACUGGAGUCCUGGAGAGGGUCGUGGAAUUCCCGGUGUAGCGGUGAAAUGCGUAGAGAUCGGGAGGAACACCAGUGGCGAAGGCGGCUCGCUGGGCCGGACCUGACGCUGAGGCGCGAAGGCGUGGGGAGCGAACGGG
rnacentral:rRNA from 1 species